rnacentral:rRNA from 1 species
UAAACUAGGAUUAGAUACCCUAUUAUUUUAAAUAUAAAAUUUUACUUAGGUAUUAAUAGUUUUGUUCUUUAAACCUAAAGAAUUUGGCGGUGUUUUAGUCUUUUCAGAGGAAUUUGUUUCUUAAUCGAUAUUCCACGUUUUAUCUUACUUUAUUUUGUUAAUCAGUAUGUAUAUCUCCGUUAUAAGUUUAUUUUUAUAGAAUUAUUUACUUUAUAUAUUAUUAUGUUUUAUUUCA